CAGUAGCCACGGUAAUGCGGAGGGAGCUAGCGUUGUUCGGAAUUACUGGGCGUAAAGCGCGCGUAGGCGGUUACUCAAGUCAGAGGUGAAAGCCCGGGGCUCAACCCCGGAACUGCCUUUGAAACUAGGUAACUAGAAUCUUGGAGAGGUCAGUGGAAUUCCGAGUGCAGAGGUGAAAUUCGUAGAUAUUCGGAAGAACACCAGUGGCGAAGGCGACUGACUGGACAAGUAUUGACGCUGAGGUGCGAAAGCGUGGGGAGCAAACAGGAUUAGAUACCCCAGUAGUCCCUGUCUCUUAUAC
rnacentral:rRNA from 1 species